rnacentral:rRNA from 1 species
UACGGAGGGAGCUAGCGUUUUUCGGAAUUACUGGGCGUAAAGGGCGCGUAGGCGGUUAAUUAAGUUGAGAGUGAAAGCCCAAGGCUUAACUUUGGAAUUGCUUUCAAAACUGAUUGACUAGAGAAUGGUAUGGGAUGGUGGAAUUUCUAGUGUAGAAGUGAAAUUCUUAGAUAUUAGAAGGAACACCGGUGGCGAAGGCGACCAUCUGGGCCAUUUCUGACGCUGAGGCGCGAAAGCGUGGGGAGCAAACAGG